UUCAUGUCUCUGUAGCUCCAGCUGAAGCAAGCUCUUCUCGUGCUUUAGUCGAUUAAUUUUCUCUUCAUAUUCCCUUUUCUCUGUUUCUGUCAUUGGGGAGUUAUUAACUUGGUUCUGCAUUGAAUGGCUAUGGAUCGGCUUUCGCCGGCGAAUAUUACUUAGAAGAUGUCUCUGUCCUCUUAUAAAUUCUUCAUUAGCAAACUCCCAUUGAUCAGGAUCAAUCUUCCUGAAUCCAUAAGUAUUAAGCUGCCUGACAAAACUUGAGAAAUUAUUGUGCUUGAAGUACUUGGGAAGCAAAUCUUGAGCGAAUUCAGGUGGAUUCCACACAACAAAACUGCAGCCACUCUGACUCCAUGACACCACUGAGUUGGUCAACGGAUCAUCUAUCAUCUCAUAUGUUUUGAUCAGAAAAGGCGCUGGUGCAUUGGAACUACUACCCUGUGAACUAUCCAUGCCUUUCUUUUUUCCUGUCAAAACUUAAUACCCCAAAUCUGUUUCUGUACGCCAAGAAACUCUGUUCUUGUACACCAGAAAAGUUCCCUCUGAUGGAAAGAUCAUUUACUGUAGAUACUACCCAAGUGAAACCCAGUAUUAAGAAGGGGAUCAGAAUCUCAGGACAACUGGGUACGGCCAAAUUUAAUCAGAAAUGAUUAUGGGUUUGGACUACUGAAAAUAAAUAACUUACAAAAUGAAAAACUAAUAGCAAUUGCAGAUUAGGAACUGGAGAAUGGAAAAUUUAUUUUGAGGGAAAUUUUGACCAAUGAAACUGCAGAACUU
rnacentral:misc_RNA from 1 species